UUCGGGGGUACACGAGCGGCGGACGGGUGAGUAACGCGUGGGAAUCUACCCCAAACUGAGGGAUAAGCAUUGGAAACGAUGUCUAAUACCGCAUAUGGUCUUCGGAUUAAAGCUUCGGCGGUUUGGGAAGAGCCCGCGUAAGAUUAGCUAGUUGGUGAGGUAAAAGGGCUCACCCAAGGGCGACGAUCUUUAACUGGUUUGAGAGGAUGAUCAGUCACACUGGAACUGAGACACGGUCCAGACUCCUACGGGAGGCAGCAGUUAGGAAUUUUCCACAAUGGGCGAAAGCCUGAUGGAGCAAUGCCGCGUGCAGGAUGAAGGCCUUAGGGUUGUAAACUGCUUUAUACGUGAAGAAUAUGACGGUAACGUAUGAAUAAGGAUCGGCUAACUCCGUG
rnacentral:rRNA from 1 species